UGAGCCGCAAUAGCUCUCUGAGAGUGUGUGGACAUAUAUUGACAUUGAAAUCUGCAUGCCUAUUAGCUGAGUGAUACACCGAUCUGGGAAUCAUACCCAUUAUCUGUGCAGCCUCCAAGUGACGCUCUGGACACAUAGGGGCUGUGAAAGUAAACACUGCUGGGGACGUGAGGACAACGGAAAGACCAUGCGGCUGCAGGAAAGAAAAGCACAGCAUGCAUUAAUGAGGCAACCUAUAUUGUUCAAAGUUCAGUGCUGAAAGUAACAGCAAUAUCAUUUUCAGGCAAAUUAAAUAGCAAGCGCAUUAAGUAGUUACCACUAAA